GACGAACGCUGGCGGCGUGCUUAACACAUGCAAGUCGAACGGAAAGGCCCUGCUUUUGUGGGGUGCUCGAGUGGCGAACGGGUGAGUAACACGUGAGUAACCUGCCCUUGACUUUGGGAUAACUUCAGGAAACUGGGGCUAAUACCGGAUAGGAGCUCCUGCUGCAUGGUGGGGGUUGGAAAGUUUCGGCGGUUGGGGAUGGACUCGCGGCUUAUCAGCUUGUUGGUGGGGUAGUGGCUUACCAAGGCUUUGACGGGUAGCCGGCCUGAGAGGGUGACCGGCCACAUUGGGACUGAGAUACGGCCCAGACUCCUACGGGAGGCAGCAGUGGGGAAUAUUGCACAAUGGGCGGGAGCCUGAUGCAGCAACGCCGCGUGCGGGAUGACGGCCUUCGGGUUGUAAACCGCUUUCGCCUGUGACGAAGCGUGAGUGACGGUAAUGGGUAAAGAAGCACCGGCUAACUA
rnacentral:rRNA from 1 species